rnacentral:rRNA from 1 species
GACGAACGCUGGCGGCGUGCUUAACACAUGCAAGUCGAACGAUGAAGCCGGAGCUUGCUCUGGUGAAUUAGUGGCGAACGGGUGAGAAACACGUGAGUAACCUGCCCUUGGCUCUGGGAUAACUGCGGGAAACUGUAGCUAAUACCGGAUACGACCCUCGGAGGCAUCUCCUGGGAGUGGAAAGAAUUUCGGUAAAGGAUGGACUGGCGGACUAUCAGCUAGUUGGUGAGUUAAAGGCUCACCAAGGCGACGACGGUUAGCCGGCCUGAGAGGGUGACCGGCCACACUGGGACGGAGACACGGCCCAGACUCCUACGGGAGGAAGCAGUGGGGAAUAUUGCACAAUGGGCGCAAGCCUGAUGCAGCAACGCCGCGUGAGGGAUGACGGCCUUCGGGUUGUAAACCUCUUUUAGCAGGGAAGAAGCGAAAGUGACGGUACCUGCAGAAAAAGCACCGGCUAACUACGUGCCAGCCGCCGCCGUAA